rnacentral:misc_RNA from 1 species
GUGAAUCAUCGAAUUUUUGAACGCAAAUUGCGCUUCCUUGCAUCCCGGGAAGUAUGUCUGUUUGAGGGUCAGUAUUAACAAAAACUCGGCUUGGUUGCAAAUUGUGACGUUUCCGGAGUUUGGGCUAUCUUAACUUUUGUGGUUAAGGGGCUUAAAAUUGACCUUAUUUGCGCAUUUUUAGACGAACAUAAAUUUUUUUUUUAUUCGUCUAUUUUGAUUGCCAAAAUCUUAUUAGAUGCGAUCAUAUCGUGUGGUUUCGUGUCCAUAAAAUUUUCAUGAUUUGACCUCAAAUCAGGUAGGA